UACGGGGGGAGCAAGCGUUGUUCGGAUUUACUGGGCGUAAAGGGCGCGUAGGCGGCCACCGCAAGUCGACUGUGAAAUCUCCGGGACUUAACCCGGAAAGGUCAGCCGAUACUGCGGGCUAGAGUGCAGAAGGGGCAACUGGAAUUCUCGGUGUAGCGGUGAAAUGCGUAGAUAUCGAGAGGAACACCUGCGGCGAAGGCGGGUUGCUGGGCUGACACUGACGCUGAUGCGCGAAAGCUAGGGGAGCGAACGGG
rnacentral:rRNA from 1 species